AAUCUUGACUGUUAACUGGAAUCUAACAGACAAUUAUCCAGAUAUAAUAGAUACUGAGAAGUUAAUAAUAAACUCAGAAAUAUGCUGCUUAACCAGCUGUCCUGUUAAUUAUCUUAACAAUGCAUUAGCAGUUGCUUUGAUUUAAACGCUCUGGAUUUGAUUUGCCUUUUGAGUUCCAGUUCACUGUCCAGGCAGUUUCAUUGUAGCUGUGCUCUCUGCCUUUCCAAGCACCCAAAGGAGCACACAAGGUCACCUAAAGAAGCUGCUGUGAACCACAGGACAAACGCUCUGCAUCAGAGCAUCCCUGUAUACUCUAAUGCUCAAAGCCAGAUACUUGUUUUUGUCUGGCAAGAGACUCCCUAAUGCAGCUAACUGCUGCCUGAUUUUGAGUAAACUGCUUCUUGUAAUAGGAAGAGCUGUUUCUUUCCAUCCUGUGAAGUGCAAUACAAAGGCCAAAUCUCCGCCCAUUCUGAACACAGCAUUCCUUUUGAUCUACCUUAUAAAAAGGUAAGGUUGUGCUGGCAGACCAGAAUGCUGCUUCAGCCUACUUGAAGACAUCUCCUGAGUGGUUGGAAGGAUGAAGCUCCUGGCGCUAUGCGGCUUUUUGUUUGUCUGUCUUUUGUGUCUCAAUGCCUUUAUCGUGGAAGGUCAGAAGGCUAAAAAAGUCUGCUGCUCAAAACUGCCCAAACACAACAAGAAAGCGCAUAAAGGUAUAAAUUUCAAAAUUACUCCGAUGGAAAUAAGGAAAUACUGCAUGCCUUGUUCUCCACCACCCCAUAUGAUGGCUUCUGGACCACUUCCACAGUUAAAAUGAGCAGACUGAGAGCAGGGUGAAAAGCAUCUGCCUGCCAGCACUUUACUUGGUUGAGGGCCCUCCUUUCACAGAUAGGACAUGACUGUAUAUUACUUUAUUUUCUGCUUGGGAAAAGCUUCACUCAGUACUGUUUAUUCAUUCACUCAGGCAUCUUCAUCUUGUUAACAUUAGCCUGACAGCUAGAGUCAGAAAAAGCUGUCUGGCUGCCACUGGACUUUUUGUCACUUGCAUAUUCCUCUGCACCAAACAGGGAUUUAUCUCCUCAAAUAAGAGAAAGAGGAUAGCUGGCUGAAUUGCUUUGGUUUGCAUUUUUGAAUUGCCUCAAAGGCGGGAAAGGGCUGAUGUUAUUGUUUCUAGUUAUCAGUAUAUAUGCAUAUUUAACCUUUUCUGUGAAUGAUUCAUUUUAUAUUGACAAAAGAAUUUUGUUUGUAGCUAAGCACACGAUGAUUUUAACUGCAGCCUUUCUUCUUAGUGCUUGAAAUCCACUUGGAAGUGAAUUUCUAGUGAGUGAGAAAAGAGCUCAUCAUUUAGAAAGGGCUGAGAAACUAGAUAAGCAGGUUGUUAAAGUAGUGGUGAAGGACCAGAUUCAAGUGCAGUGGCAAGCUUUGCAAUAUCUCCUCUAGGGGUUUAAAUCUGGCUUUAGAAGUGAAGGGGCCUGUUCUUUAACUUCCUAGAAAAAUGUCAUCAGGUGGUUAUUAAACAGCAUACCGAAAAGGUGUUAAAGCUAAUCAGAUUAAAUCUUUUCCUCCUGAAGCCAACAGGCAGCCAUUCUUUUAAGACACCUGAGUUGUGUGACCACCUUAAUAAGUAAAACUUCCCAGAGCUUGAAAUAAAGGCUAAGAAUAAUACCAAAGGGCUGGAUAACAGAGAAAAUGAAGCACCUUCUGCUGACAUCAUUAGCAGUGAUUGGGUUCUUCACUGAUGUAUCAUCUGUCCUUCCCUACCCAUCCCCUGCAUAUGCUGCUAUUUUUCUUCCUUGGGUGAGCCCUUAAACCAGAAUUACUUGGAUGUUCAUAAAUUUGGUUUUCCGUCUAGUGAAUAUGAGGAGGACCAAAAAGCUUUUCUGCUGUUGGGCAAAUUGCAGAUUGCAAAUAGUAAUUGUUUCCUCAGUACUCAUAGUACUGGUGUUUCUCUUAACAUAAUUUUCUGUGCAAUAGAAAUGGUCUCACUGCCCUUCAGAAUUUGAGGAAGUUGAAUGGAGUCAGUCAGAGGCAUGUUGUAACUCACACAAGCAAAUGCAGUUCUCAGGGGUCAAGUUUAUGGGCACUUGCAUGUGGUCGUGCUCUCUUAUUGGCAAUGUUUCUAUUGUACUGAGCAACUGAAACAAUUUCUGUGUCUUCUAUGUGCUUGUUAUGACUUUAUUUUCUUCUUGGUUUUGCAAUUAGAUAGAUCUGACACUCAGCUUCCUAUUUUUGAAGAGCUGACCACGCAUAGCAUUUUUAUAUCAAGGAUAAAGGAGCUGCCAGUCCUUCUCACAAGAUCUGAGUCAGGAGGUUGGUGAAGGAGCUGUGUUUGAUUGUUCUUCUGCUGAUCACUGGGCAAACAUUUUUAUUUUGUCUGUGUAACUCACAGAAGGAAUCCAUAGAAUGUCAAUGACAUGUAAUUGUAAAACACAUUUUUGGUAUUAAAUGUGUUUGCAGCAUGAUUUUACUCUAUAAAAUAUGGCCUUGUAUGUUUACAGCUCUGUAUAAAGCGUUAUAACAGGUAUGAAGAUUCUGUUCUCUAAUGUGAGCUUAAUCCCAUUUCUUUUACAUCUGAAAAAUGCUGUAUGAUUCUUCUUUGUCCCACAGCCUCCAACCAAUGUGGUCCACAAUCUCCAAUCCUCCUUCAGGCAAAGCAUUCUUUCAGAUAGCAAAAAGUUAAGCCCCAAAGACCGUUAGCACAAUUGGAUAAAUACUUUGGGUCUCUGCAUGGGUGGAGGGACAUCAUCCAAUGCACUGGAGUGGUUUUACUCACUUAGUUUCCCAAACUGGCCUCAACCUAAGGUUGAGGGAUAUUCAAGUUAAAAAAUGUUACUUGUGUGAGGUCCUGGUCUUGACUGAACAAACUAAAGCAGGAAUCCUCAAAUUAUUUCAGCAGGGAUUGUGACUGCUGCCCAAACAUGCUCUUUUACCUCAUCUAGAGGUAUCAGGAUGUCAUGUGUCAGUUUCUGAAGGUGAUUCCUCAAUGGAGUUUGACUUUCAUGUACCAGGCCAUUUUCCCCGUGUGGUAGAAUAGAGCUACCAUCUGAUUAUGUCUUAACUUACAGACAUCUGUUCUGCCUUUUGUUUUCCUUUCAUUUCUAUGUACAUUUCUUUGGCAUUACCUGAGGAGGAACACAUUUGCUCAGUGGCUUUUCAAAGUACUCAAUCUUUAUGUUUAUAUAAAGUAGUAAAUUUAGCUUGUCCAAGCUGACAGAAGCAUUUGUUUGGAUCUUGUGUUUUUGUGUGAAAAUUGCACAGCCUUCAAAUUCCAAUAAAAAUGUUUCUGAAGUGUAUCUAUGGCUACCAGAACAGAUGUUGGAUCCUGGUCUGGCCUUGUCAACUAAGUGAGCCAGGUGGCCCCUCACUUUGUUUAGAGCUUAAUACCACCAGCUAACACCAAAUCAGUCUGUCUUAUUUGGCACUAUGACUGUGAAUUGUCAGGAGCACAGGAGAAAUUAUCAAUGCUGAUGGGGAGUGUUGGGGCAGUGGCACGUUUGGGGAUCUCUUCUUUCAAAGUGGGUAGUAGAAGAAAUAAAAUUAUGUAUUCUUCGCACAAAAAA